UACGAAGGGGGCUAGCGUUGCUCGGAAUUACUGGGCGUAAAGCGCACGUAGGCGGAUUGUUAAGUCGGGGGUGAAAUCCUGGAGCUCAACUCCAGAACUGCCUUCGAUACUGGCGAUCUCGAGUUCGGGAGAGGUGAGUGGAACUGCGAGUGUAGAGGUGAAAUUCGUAGAUAUUCGCAAGAACACCAGUGGCGAAGGCGAGUCUCUGGACAGCAACUGACGCUGAGGCACGAAGGCCAGGGGAGCAAACGGG
rnacentral:rRNA from 1 species